GUGCUUGCUGCAGCAACACGAAUACUAAAACUGGAAUGAUACAGAGGUGAUUAGCAUAGCCCCAGUGCAAAGAUGGCAUGCAAAUUCAUCAGAAGUUCCAUAUUUUA
ensembl:snRNA U6 U6 spliceosomal RNA